AUUGAACGCUGGCGGCAGGCCUAACACAUGCAAGUCGAGCGGAUCGGCGGACGCGUGAGUGUUGUCUAUGAAUCUGCCUGGCUGUGGGGGAUAACGUCCGGUAACGGGCGCUGAUACUGCACUCUCUCUGAUGAGCAUAGGCCGGAUUAGCUAGAUGGUGGGGUAAAGGCUUACCACGGCGACGAUCCGUAUCUGGUCUGAGAGGAUGAUCAGUCACACUGGAACUGAGACACGGUCCAGACUCCGACGGGAGGCAGCAGUGGGGAAUAUUGGACAAUGGGCGAAAGCCUGAUCCAGCCAUGCCGCGUGUAUGAAGAAGGUCUUCGGAUUGUAAAGCACUUUAAGUUGGGAGGCGUUACCAACAGAAUAAGCACCGGCUAACUACGUGCCAGCCGCCGCGGUAAUAC
rnacentral:rRNA from 1 species